AAUAAGAAGCAGCAUAUGCGAUAUGAAAAAGUAUGUUUUAUUAUGAGCAUUGAUUCUAUGAAUGUGUUUUAUAAAAAUAGCAUGAUUAUGACAUAUAAAUUUUUUAUUAUUUUUUAAUCUAUGUAUAUGUAUAUUUUAAGAAAAAAAUAUAAAAAUUUUAAAGACUCUCAGAUAGCUAUGAAUGAAUCUCUUCAGAAAGAUCAACAUCCGGAGCUAGCAUCCACAUG
rnacentral:lncRNA from 1 species